UCCAGUCCAUUCCAAAUCAAAUUUUAAAUUCAAAUUGAAAACUUUCAUUAAUGGAAUCUUCAAAUUUGAAAACUGAAAAUGAAAAAUAGGAAACUUGAAAACUGAAAAUGGAAACUGAAAACUGAAAAUUCAAUCUUCAAAUUUGUUCAUACUGGAAACUAGAAAUUGAAAGCAAGACCCAGCUACUAAAAGCACUUUGUCAUUCUCAAACACGUGCAAGGGAAGCUGAGAACGCGGCGAAGCAAGCCUUUGCAGAGAAGGAGCACGUCGUUCAACUGGUAUUUAG
rnacentral:lncRNA from 1 species